GUCGAGCGGAUGAAGGGAGCUUGCUCCUGGAUUCAGCGGCGGACGGGUGAGUAAUGCCUAGGAAUCUGCCUGGUAGUGGGGGAUAACGUCCGGAAACGGGCGCUAAUACCGCAUACGUCCUGAGGGAGAAAGUGGGGGAUCUUCGGACCUCACGCUAUCGGAUGAGCCUAGGUCGGAUUAGCUAGUUGGUGGGGUAAAGGCUCACCAAGGCGACGAUCCGUAACUGGUCUGAGAGGAUGAUCAGUCACACUGGAACUGAGACACGGUCCAGACUCCUACGGGAGGCAGCAGUGGGGAAUAUUGGACAAUGGGCGAAAGCCUGAUCCAGCCAUGCCGCGUGUGUGAAGAAGGUCUUCGGAUUGUAAAGCACUUUAAGUUGGGAGGAAGGGCAGUAAGUUAAUACCUUGCUGUUUUGACGUUACCAACAGAAUAAGCACCGGCUAACUUCGUGCCAGCAGCCGCGGUAAUACGAAGGGUGCAAGCGUUAAUCGGAAUUACUGGGCGUAAAGCGCGCGUAGGUGGUUCAGCAAGUUGGAUGUGAAAUCCCCGGGCUCAACCUGGGAACUGCAUCCAAAACUACUGAGCUAGAGUACGGUAGAGGGUGGUGGAAUUUCCUGUGUAGCGGUGAAAUGCGUAGAUAUAGGAAGGAACACCAGUGGCGAAGGCGACCACCUGGACUGAUACUGACACUGAGGUGCGAAAGCGUGGGGAG
rnacentral:rRNA from 1 species